UACAGAGGGGGCAAGCGUUGUUCGGAAUUACUGGGCGUAAAGGGCGCGUAGGCGGCCCGCUAAGUCGAACGUGAAAUCCCCGAGCUCAACUCGGGAACUGCGUCCGAUACUGGUGGGCUUGAAUCCGGGAGAGGGAUGCGGAAUUCCAGGUGUAGCGGUGAAAUGCGUAGAUAUCUGGAGGAACACCGGUGGCGAAGGCGGCAUCCUGGACCGGCAUUGACGCUGAGGCGGCGAAAAGCUAGGGGAGCAAAGCGGG
rnacentral:rRNA from 1 species